GUGCUGGCUUUGUGUUUUCAAUGAAAUUGGAACAAUACAGAGAAGAUUAACAUUGCCACUCCUCAAGGAUGACACACAUUAAAAAUAUGAUCACUGGAUCUGC